rnacentral:rRNA from 3 species
GACUUGUGUGUGUUGCUGUUCAGCGGUCUGCAUUCAAAAGAGUGUUACGACAUGCGGCAGUGGCGCCGUAAAAUCUUCAACUGGAUCGCAACUGGACUUAAUUGCCUGGUUGCAGUCAUUCGGUUGAUCGUUUACUGUGAGAAAAUUAGAGUGUUCAAGGCAGGCAUUAUUGCAAUUGAAUAUGUUAGCAUGGAAUAAUAAGAUAAGGCUUUCGCGUUUAUUUUGUUGGUUUCUAGAUCGGAAGUAAUGAUUGAUAGGGACAGUUGGGGGUGCUAGUAUUCAGCGGCCAGAGGUGAAAUUCAUGGAUUCGCUGAAGACUAACUUAUGCGAAAGCAUU